rnacentral:rRNA from 1 species
UACGGAGGGAGCUAGCGUUGUUCGGAAAUACUGGGCGUAAAGCGCACGUAGGCGGCGCAGUAAGUCAGGGGUGAAAUCCCGGGGCUCAACCCCGGAACUGCCCUUGAAACUGCAGUGCUAGAAUCUUGGAGAGGCGAGUGGAAUUCCGAGUGUAGAGGUGAAAUUCGUAGAUAUUCGGAAGAACACCAGUGGCGAAGGCGACUCGCUGGACAAGUAUUGACGCUGAGGUGCGAAAGCGUGGGGAGCAAACAGG